AUAUUAUUCUGUUAUACAAAGCUAUCCUGUCCUACUUUGUGUGCAGACCCUCCGCUUGGUUUUCCUUUUAUGUUGCACAGAAUUUUCUAUAAGGGUCUCUUAGAAUCUAACCUGUCUUUGAAGGUAGUCAGCAAAAGCUCACAAAGAGGUCUAUUGUUGUUUUCUGCUUAUUUAUUCUCUCAAUGAAAAGAUUUUCACUUGUUUCAGACAAGAUAGCUUUUUUCCUUGGCAUUACCUUCCUUUUCCAGAAACUUCUGCAGUGAUCGAGAAAGAAAAACAGUUUCACAAAAGGUCAUAUUUUCUUAUUUCAUUUCCUGCUGCAAAUAGGCUAUUUUUUUUUUCCCCAGACUUCUAGUUUGACUGCUAUAUUGAAAUUUGUAACUAUAUUUAUAAUUCCCGCUCCCUUGGACCUCCUUUUAUAUUUUUCUACAAAACCUAGAAAGAAGAGGAAUGGAAUCCUGAAACUGAAUAAUGGAUGCUGAAAAUAAUUCAGGAAGGUCAUUCUGUCAUUUAAAGGUCAUCUUCAUCCACUUUUUCCAGCAAGCUGUCAUCUCUUUAGUAUUUACAACAGCUACAGGAGAUAUUUUACACUUAUUUGUCAAUUGCUCUUCUCAUAAGAGGGCAGGAUCAUUCAGGCUGGAAGGAACCUCAUGAUGCUGAAAAAUUCUACGGGCAGAGGCUGCAUAGCUCCUCUGGGCAGCCUGUACACUAAGGAAUAAAUGGCUUAUGAAGAUGCA
rnacentral:lncRNA from 1 species